rnacentral:tmRNA from 1 species
GGGGGCGAAACGGGUUCGACGGAGGUAGUUGAAGCGCAUACUGCAUGUCGGGGUUCCUACCAGCCCGUAAAACGGUGGGACUAAAUAUAAUCGCAGACGAUUAUAACUACGCACUGGCUGCGUAACACCAGCCAGCGCCCUGUCUGAGCUCUCCUGCGGCAAGGAACAGGGCGGCGACACAAGCAGGAUAGCCGCGCGGUUGUUUUCAGGGAUCGUGCGGCGAAACCAUACCUGAGAUAGUCUCUGCAGCAUCCUGCGCCCGGGAGGUCUGCGGGACGAAUUUUAAAACAGGCGCUAAGCAUGUAGAUGUGUGCGUGGAAGACUUCCGGACGGGGGUUCAACUCCCCCCGCCUCCACCA